rnacentral:lncRNA from 1 species
AUCAUGAUCAUGUGGCAACUGAGGCCUUCUUAUUCUCAGGCCCUUUUCACGUCUUAUAAUUCUCACUGAAUGAAGGAUAAGCUUCCUUAAUUGUCACACUAUGACUCAGUACUUAGAAGGGAGCUCAUAAUUUCCUCCUGCUCUCAGACUUCCCUGCCUUUGUAUCUCUCCAUCCCAUUUUGCAGCAUACAACCUUUUGGGUCUACAAAUUAGUAUCUUCACUGAUUCUCUUCCUUCUUCUAUGAAGUUAAUCCAUGUCUUAUGGCUUCUUUCUUAGGACUCCUGCCCUUCCUCUAGUCUACAGCUGUUAUCAUAUUUCUAGCUAGCGUCAAACAAACACUUUGUGGCACUGGGUAGGACAAACCCAAAUAAAAUAGGGCACCCAUUUUGAUUCCUAAUUACACUGCAAUUUGAUUGCCAUAGCCUCCUUGCUGGUUUCAAGUAUCUUUAGUCCUGUGCCUUCAUUCAGUCCUACACAAAGAAGGUGAGUCAUCCCCUGCAAGCUCUGUUUUGAUCAUCUCUCUCCUUCUCUGAACCCUGCAGGAUCUCUGAGUUUCUGCUUACGUCAAAUCAAAACUGAUCAUGAGUCACUCUUUAUCUAACUGUCCUCCACUUUCAUCAUAGCCUGAUUGUUCUCUCUGCUUAAUUCAAGCUGCCUGGCUCCUUUUUCAGAGCGCAUACAUGCUGUCUCUCUUCUCCAGGGCAUUCAGAGAGCCUUCCGCCCACCUGGCAUGUUUCUGCUCCUCUGUGCUAUGCCAGUCCGCUGCUGCUUGCUUCAGAGCCCAGCACAAUCCUCUCCUCCCUCUGAACGGCUUUCUGGCUUUGCACAUGUUCAUCUCAGUCACUCCAGCAAACCUCUCCCCACUAUCUUACUCCAUCUUUACAUGCCACCACUGAGCAUUGUAAGUCAUUCACGUAUUCAUUUAUUUAUGAUGCAUUGCUGUGGUAAAAUAGUGGAGAUAAAACUGUGAACUUGUAUGGCAUGCCCUACUCACAGGGGCUGACCAUCUGGUGUAGGAGACAGACACUAAAGCGUUAUCACAAGAGAUAGUCACCCAGAAACAGUAAUGAUUCUUAUGAAGUAAAGGAAAGGGUGCAAAGAGAUUUUAACAGGGCACCUGAUUAGUCAAGCAGAGCAGGGAAGGCUUUACUAAGAACAUGGCAAAAGAUGAAUAGGAUUCCACCUGCCGAAGAGCUGGAGGAAGAAGUUUCCAGUCUGGUAAACAGCAGAUGCAAAGUCCCUGAUAUGGAAAUGGGCUUAGAAUAGUCAAGGAAUUGUGAGAAGUCUGGGUGAUUGCUGUACAGGCAGUGGGAGAGUUUCACGCUUGUGUGUGCCUCUCCUAAUGUGCUCAUCAGGUGGUCACAGGCUCCGUAUCACAGUUUCAAAGUCCACCUAAUGUCUUCUCUGUCCAGAUCAGUGUUUUCCAAACUUCCUUGAUGUUAAGAAUCACCUGGGAUACUUGCUAAAACCCAGGUUUCCAGGCUUUUGGAAAUUCUGACUCAGUGGUACUGCGGUAGGGCUCUGAAAUUUGUAUAUUUAAAGAGAACUCCAGGUGUUUUUUAUCAUCAGGGUUGUUUUGGAUUCACUGAUUUUUACAGCGUUUAGAUAAUUCUGAAAUGAUAUGAACAACAGGAAGUGGACAAAUGGCAAGCUGUAAGAUAAUAUAAUUUCUUAAAUCCCCACAUGGUUUAUCUUUGUUCAAGGCACACAUUACUGCUGCUGUGCACAUUAACCUGUCUUUGGAUAUUGAUUACAUAAAUCUUCGCCUACUCCCCAAUUUGAUCAUAGAAUAGGGAGUUCCAACCCUGGCUUCUCAUCAGAAUCCUCCCUACUCUCCAAGACUCUGGGGUAUAGCCUGGGCAUCUGCUGCUUUUAAAAGCUUCUCCGCUGAUCCUAAUCCUAGCCAGGGCUGUCAGUCACUGACUUUGGAUGUUGGUGGAGACAGGCAGUGUAUUUCCUUCCUUUGCCCUCCCUUCAGUGCCUCCUAUUAGUUUUUCAGAGAGUGUAGGUUCAGGAAUUUGGUUGAGCAACUGAUCCACCCUCACUGCUGUGUGAUCACACACUUGUAAAAUGCAUAUGAUUAGUCAUUGUCCACCUCUACCCUCUAAAGACUGGCCCCAGCAGCACAAAUGCAGUCACUGUUCUGUCACUGACAGAAGCAAUAUGCCACUCAAUGACUAUGAUCUGAAACCAACACUUCUGAUUCUUUACUGAGGAAUCCUAUACACCUGCUUGCACGUCUCAACCACUUUUUUUUAAAGAAGACAUCACCUUUUCUAAUGAGGAACAGUGAUUGCCCAUUCCUCAUAUAUGCCCUGCAUUUUCUCACCUCAAGGAUUUUGAUCAAUGUGAACUCUAUAUGUGGAAUGUCCUUUUCAUCUUUGAGCACUAUAAUUCACCUGGCCAUUGGGAACCUUGAAGAAUCUGCCUACAAUCUGCAGCCAAGCUUCUUGGGAAUGAUGGAGUCACUGUUUCAGAGGGUGACCAAAAGCAUGCUGAUCUUCCACAUCUCUGCAGAUUCUCAAGAGGUCAAUCACUUCGCACUUGUUCUCAAAGGGAGAACUUAAGGUAAUGGGAAGUCAUCGAGGCUUUGACAGAGAAGCGAUUUGGCUUGGCACAUGCACACAAGCCCAACUGCUCUUUGAGAAAGAAAUACAUUUAUUUGAUACUUGGUUCUUUUUGAUGCUAAUUUCUGCUGUUAGUAUUUGCU